rnacentral:rRNA from 1 species
UACAGAGGGUGCGAGCGUUAAUCGGAAUUACUGGGCGUAAAGCGCGCGUAGGCGGCUUGUUAAGUCGGAUGUGAAAUCCCUGGGCUCAACCUAGGCAUUGCAUUCGAUACUGGCAAGCUAGAGUAUGGGAAAGGAAGGUAGAAUUCCAGGUGUAGCGGUGAAAUGCGUAGAGAUCUGGAGGAAUACCGAUGGCGAAGGCAGCCUUCUGGCCUAAUACUGACGCUGAGGUGCGAAAGCAUGGGGAGCAAACAGG